rnacentral:rRNA from 1 species
CGAAGGGUGCAAGCGUUAAUCGGAAUUACUGGGCGUAAAGCGCGCGUAGGUGGUUUUGUAAGUUGGAUGUGAAAGCCCCGGGCUCAACCUGGGAACUGCAUCCAAAAACUGCAUGACUAGAGUACGGUAGAGGGUGGUGGAAUUUCCUGUGUAGCGGUGAAAUGCGUAGAUAUAGGAAGGAACACCAGUGGCGAAGGCGACCACCUGGACUGAUACUGACACUGAGGUGCGAAAGCGUGGGGAGCAAACAGGAUU